UCAUAAUCACAAUUCCCCUCGCAUCAAGGAAGACACUAAACAAGCCAGUCACACAACCAUCCAAUUCUUUAAUGUUUUACCUUCAAUUCUUGAGCAGUGGGUUUAGGCAGAUCAGCAACAGCUUCUAGAUCAGUAGAUCAGCUUUUAAAUUUAACUACAACAACAAAUAAAAUGUAUAUACCAGGCUUUUGUCCAGGACCAUAAAUCACCAUUCUUGAUACAUCUGGAUAAACAAUCUUGCCAGAAAUAUUUGAAUUAAUUGGAAUGUCUGGUAUGGUCCGAUCUGCAUUCAGAACAGCAAGAGAUUUUGAAAAUAGAAAGGAUUAAUGACCCCAAGAUAGUACAAGUAACUCCUUUACCUGCAGAGCUAGGUCCAUUUACAGGAGCAGGAUUUUCAAUCUUCUUAUUGACAUUUUUAAAGAGCCACUACAAGCGGACCAUAUGACAAUUAGAAUUCACUCAAUCUUCAGCUUUAAAUCUCACUUUCCUUUAGCUUCAGCAAAGCAACAAACAUAGAUCAAUUCUCGUUCCUACAUUGAAAAUGGCAAAAUCAAACAUCUAGCUAAUUUAAAGAUGGCAACAAUUCUCGUCUCUGAUGGCAGCAAUCAAACCUUUAGCCUUUGGAACCUUCAAACCCC
rnacentral:lncRNA from 1 species